ensembl:lncRNA
GAAAUCUUAAUUAUUUUGAUUGCUUCUAGCACCUUCUAUGAAUUCAGAAGUGAUGUCUGAGUGAAUUUGGACUAAGCCCCAGCGUGUCCUGAUGAACAACAGUCUUGAUAGGCCACCCUGGCAAUUUUCAGAUGAAAAUGUUGAUGACUCACUGAAACAAAAGCAAAAGAUUCAAACGCAUUCUUAGGAUUUCAUGAUGGCACGUUCACCCUGUGUAAUGAGAGAGACGCUGCUACUGGAGAACUCAGUAAGAACAAUCAUGAAAAACUGUGCACAAGGAAGAGGAAUUUAAACAAGAACAGAACGAGAGAAGGGCAGGUCAGGAAAAGAAAGAUCACAGGAGUUGCAUGCUUUCACACCUGAAUGACAGCCACACAGAGUCCUGCUUGUCCAGGCCCAACACAUGCUUGAACCAAG